UCUAGAUUUUAUAUUGUUUUCUCUUCAUUUCUAUUCUUUCUUAAUUUUCUACCUUUCAAUAUUCCUUUUGAUGAGUCUAAUAUAUCAAAAGAGAGAUUUAAAAAGGUAAAUUUGAUGGUUGCGUGUGAAAAUUUGGAAGUGAAAUUAGUUAGGUUUUAUUUUCUUGAUGUUUUGUGAAUGGUAGGUACAUAAUUUGAUUGUUUUAGUUUGUUCGUUUCUUUUCAUGGUUGUGAGAUCUACAUAAUUUGAAUGUUUCGGUUCUUAUUUUUUCUAAAAAUAGUUUUACUCUAAUUUGCUUUUACCUUCUGUGGUGUAUCUACAAGAUGGAUCAUGGAAGACACAUGCUUUUAACUUUUCAUCAUUUCGGUAUUUGAGAUGCAGAAGAUUGAUUAGACAUAUAAAUUUUGUUUAGACUACCAUUUGUAUCUAAUAGGCUUAAACUUCAUCAUGUUACUUGUACCAUUGGUAUAUAGUCAAUGAAGUAUGAAUCAUUUUAAUAUUAAUUUUUUUUAUUGACAGUUUAUUUUUUCGUCUAGGGUGGUGGGGGAAAAUAAUAAUAAUCGUAAACAUAUUUGACCCUAAAAAACGUUUUUAAUUAAUAUAAUUCCCAAAAUGCAAUAAUAAUAAAUAUAAAUGCAUUAAAUAUAUAAUAAAGUAGGGGCCUUAAUAAUCGCCCCUAAUACUACAAAACUAUUAGGGGCGGAAAUAAGUGCUUAUUUGCACCUAUUUAUUAAUAGCAACACUCUUUUUAGGUGCAAUUUCAAUAUCCGCCACUCCUAACUAUUAGGUGCGGAAAUCCUCAAAUUUUGCCCCUUAUUUCUAAUUAAUAGGUGCAAAUGCAUUGGUCUCUACUUGUUCAUAGUUUUGUAGUGCCUUUUGAGUUCUAAUUCAAAUUGGUUACAAAUUUGAAUGGGUCCAUAAAUUUGGUGUUUUCUUUCAGGUUUUAAGAUAAAGACCUUUUGAUUUCUAAUUCAAAUUUGCUUACAGAUUUGAAUGGAAUAAAUUAAUAGAGUAUGAACUUAGGACCUUAUAACCUUUUGGGUUUUGAUUUUGCAGGGAAAGCCACCAAUUGGCAAGGACUUGCUAUUGAGGUUGCCAUUUUCAUUACUAAUUAAAUUGUUUUCCAUUUGCUUUUACUUAUUAAAUUGACUGUGUAUAUGCCAUAUCUUGCCAAUCAUGCCAUUUGCAAUACUUGUUUGAACAUUUGCUUUCUAUUGAGGCUACCAUUUGCUUUUGAGUAUAUUUCUUAGAUAUAGUUGAUCCUUUGGUGUUCUUCCCACUAGAAAAUUAUCUAUCAAACAACGCGAAUGAUUUUGCUUGUCACAUUUUUUUUGCAAGAGCCCUUCAAGUAUUUACUAUGAAUAUGGACUAUUCAUGAAUAAUCACUUGCUGCUUGAUCAAGCAGGAGCCUUUCAAGUCUUUACUUAUCGAUUUGUGUAAAUUGGUAUUGUUUUUCAUUGUGUAUGAGAAGCAUUGUAAAAGAAUUGGAUUGAUAUUCAUGAAAUCAAAAAAGGCAUUUGAUGUCUUCCAAGUUGCCUCCAAAGUUGGUAUGCUAUUGUUCGUUGUCAUUGAAAUAUAAAUUUAAGAAUAAAGUCAUACAAAAUACUUGAAUUCCUUCAAGUUCAUGCAAUUCCUCCAAAUUCAUAGAAUAAACUUAUACAAAGCAGAGGAACCCCAUUAACACAGGAACAAAAAAAUGAGAUUAGCUUCCUGUAGAUAUUGAGUGCUCAUCAUCUUGUAGUUAACCAAAAUGGAAAUCAUAAAAAUGUUGAUUAAAAAUAAUAAUGUUAUUAUAUCUACAAAUAAUCCUGGAAGGGUUACUUGUUAUGAAUAACACUUUCAUGGAACAUUUUGGUCCACAGUGGCCAUUCUACAUCAAAAACAAUAAACACAUUUCAACUAUUGAUAUAUUAAUUGCAUGAUAUACAUAGAAAAACACGCGGAGUUUGUAUUCUUACCGAUUGUGGAGCUUCGGACAAUUUCUUUUGUCAUGAUUAACUCCAUAUUGCCCACACCCAUGACAAAGGUUACCAUUAACCAUUUUAAGUCUUUUUCCAGAUCAUUUGGUCUUAAUAGGAUCAGGUUCAAGAAAACCAACAUCAUCUACUAUCAAUUCUUUUUUUUUUGCAGGAUGUUCCAUAUCUUCUUUGGUUGUAGAAGUUUCCACGUUUUCAUUGCUACUACCAACUAAUGGCUUAAUCUUUUCAUUCACAAUAUCCAUCGCCUCACAAAAGAGUUUAAUUGCCUCAUCAUUUAGAAUCACUUUAUCAAUCAAAUGCGAAUAUUGUUGGAAUAAUGUACCACUUCUUUCAAGUACGGAUUUGUCAACAUAUAUCUUCACACCAGAGUUGUCUACUGUAACCGAAGAUUUUGCAGAUUUAGUCCAUCUAUUCAAAAUGUAUUCAUCCGACAAUAUCUCAAGUUGACGUAUUUUAUGCAAAUAUGUCAAAAAAUUCAAUUUCACAAUCUCUCACACCUAAUCUCUCACACCUAUCCCUCACGACUUCACUAUCAAGUAUUCAAGGUAUGGAUUGAACUCUUAAUCUUCCUCAACAAAUCUUUUCACUUUUUCAUAUGGGUUAUUUUGAUUUUCAGAAAAUAUUCUCUUUCCAGGGUUCAAUUUUUUUUUUUAAUUUUAGUUGUUUUGUCCUAAUUUUGAUGAUUAGAUUUUGAAAUAUAUUUUUUCCCUGAAUCCACAUCGACAUAGGUUUGUGGUUGUUUUAAGGAAGUGGAAGAAGACAAUGGCAUCUACUUAACUCAAAGCUUUUCUUUCAAUGGUUAAUCAGUAAUAAGCAAGCGUGUAUGAGGUUGGAGGAAUUAGCAGUUGAAGUUGAGGCACUUGCCUUUGAAGGCACAAAGAGGGGGUGCUUGGUAAAAGAUCACCUCACCUCACUUUUUUUUUUUUUUUUUUUUUUUUUUUUUUCUGAUUUGGAUUUUCAGAUUGAGUAAAGUUUGAUGCUUUAUGUGAGUAAGCGUGUGAUUUUUUUUUUUCAGGGCAUAUCUUAAGUGAUUAGUUUUUGUACAUGGUAUGAGUUAGUAAACAUAAUGACAGGAAGAAGACUAUGGUUUAGAUAAAACAUGUUAAUUUGCAUUCUUCUGUUAAGAUCAUCUGUAUUUAUAGUGUUCUAAAAAGAUUAUGUCUGUUCCUAUUCUUUGCUAGAAUGUUUUUGUAUAAAUUUUCAUACAUUUAUGCACAUCUAUUCUAAUCCCAUGUAUAUUUGCUUGCAGUUUUGUUGUGGAAUGAAGAUAGAUCAUAUCCGAAGUUUAUUACCUUUUUAGUCUAAUAAGAAAAUCAAAGUCUGUGUAUGCAGAAUUUUGAGACCUAAAGUUAUAGGAAAGGAUAAUACGUUUGGCGGUCUUUAAUGUAUAUUGGUUGAUGAAAUGAAAGAUGCAAUUCAAGCCUCUGCAAAAUGGAUUACGAGUACGUUGCUCCAAAGAUUAAAUCUAAUCAUGUUUAUGAGAUCACACACUUUUGGACCAGUUGUUGUAAACCGUCUUACAAAAUUGUCCCCCAUGAUGCACAAGUGUGCUUCAAUACAAUUUUUUGUUUUGAAAAGUUAUCAGGUGUUCAUCUACACAUUCCCUCACAUCAGUUUUACUUACUUGAUUAUUCUCAACAGUCUUCUCGCAUCGAUCGAUAUGAUAUUCUCACAGGUAAUUGUACAUAUAUAUAUAUAUAUAAAUUAAUAUUAGUUUAGUAUCAUUUUGUCAAUAUUUUUAAGCAUUUUGAGAUCUAAUUACAAUAUUUGGACAAAUAUUGAAAUGUUUGGGACGCUGUAGACAUCGAAAUUUCGGUAAAUAAAUGUUGACCGAUAAAUCAAAGUUUCAACGCUC